rnacentral:rRNA from 1 species
GGACGAACGCUGGCGGCACGCCUAACACAUGCAAGUCGAACGGACGCGGAGGAAGCUUGCUUCUUCCAAGUUAGUGGCGGACGGGUGAGUAACACGUGAGCAACCUGCCUUUAAGAGGGGGAUAGCUUCUGGAAACGGAUGGUAAUACCCCAUAACAUAUACUGAUGGCAUCUUCAGUAUAUCAAAGAUUUAUCGCUUAGAGAUGGGCUCGCGUCUGAUUAGAUAGUUGGUGAGGUAACGGCUCACCAAGUCGACGAUCAGUAGCCGGACUGAGAGGUUGAACGGCCACAUUGGGACUGAGACACGGCCCAGACUCCUACGGGAGGCAGCAGUGGGGAAUAUUGCACAAUGGGGGAAACCCUGAUGCAGCGAUGCCGCGUGGAGGAAGAAGGUUUUCGGAUUGUAAACUCCUUUUAUCAGGGACGAUAAUGACGGUACCUGAAGAAAAAGCUCCGGCUAACUACGUG